GGCAGCAUGGUCUUAGCUUGCUAAGGCCGAUGGCGACCGGCGCACGGGUGAGUAACACGUAUCCAACCUGCCGUCUACUCUUGGACAGCCUUCUGAAAGGAAGAUUAAUACAAGAUGGCAUCAUGAGUCCGCAUGUUCACAUGAUUAAAGGUAUUCCGGUAGACGAUGGGGAUGCGUUCCAUUAGAUAGUAGGCGGGGUAACGGCCCACCUAGUCUUCGAUGGAUAGGGGUUCUGAGAGGAAGGUCCCCCACAUUGGAACUGAGACACGGUCCAAACUCCUACGGGAGGCAGCAGUGAGGAAUAUUGGUCAAUGGGCGAGAGCCUGAACCAGCCAAGUAGCGUGAAGGAUGACUGCCCUAUGGGUUGUAAACUUCUUUUAUAAAGGAAUAAAGUCGGGUAUGGAUACCCGUUUGCAUGUACUUUAUGAAUAAGGAUCGGCUAACUCCGUGCCAGCAGCCGCGGUAAUACGGAGGAUCCGAGCGUUAUCCGGAUUUAUUGGGUUUAAAGGGAGCGUAGAUGGAUGUUUAAGUCAGUUGUGAAAGUUUGCGGCUCAACCGUAAAAUUGCAGUUGAUACUGGAUGUCUUGAGUGCAGUUGAGGCAGGCGGAAUUCGUGGUGUAGCGGUGAAAUGCUUAGAUAUCACGAAGACUCCGAUUGCGAAGGCAGCCUGCUAA
rnacentral:rRNA from 1 species